rnacentral:rRNA from 1 species
UGGGGAAUAUUGGACAAUGGGGGGAACCCUGAUCCAGCCAUGCCGCGUGUGUGAAGAAGGCCUUAUGGUUGUAAAGCACUUUAAGUUGGGAGGAAGGGCAGUAAGCGAAUACCUUGCUGUUUUGACGUUACCGACAGAAUAAGCACCGGCUAACUCUGUGCCAGCAGCCGCGGUAAUACAGAGGGUGCAAGCGUUAAUCGGAAUUACUGGGCGUAAAGCGCGCGUAGGUGGUUCGUUAAGUUGAAUGUGAAAGCCCCGGGCUCAACCUGGGAACUGCAUCCAAAACUGGCGAGCUAGAGUAGGGCAGAGGGUGGUGGAAUUUCCUGUGUAGCGGUGAAAUGCGUAGAUAUAGGAAGGAACACCAGUGGCGAAGGCGACCACCUGGGCUCAUACUGACACUGAGGUGCGAAAGCGGGGGGAGCAAACAGG